ACCCCGAUCCCAAGCACCAUGGAGCCGACGAUUUGGAUCAAGACCUACACCCCAAGCACCAAGGUGCCUGGUUGAUAUGGAUCGCGAUCCCGAUCUGGAGCUCCAGGGCGUCGAGGAUUUCGAUCACGAUCCCGAUCUGAAGCACCGAGUAGCCGAGGAUAUGGAUCAAGACCCCGGUCCGAAGCGACAGGGAGGCAAGGAUUUGGAUCACCAAUCCGAUCAAAGGCAUCAAGGCGUCGAGGGAUUGGAUCGAGACCCCGAUCCCAAUCAUGAAGUUGGCUAUGUAAUUUCCUGUUUUCCACACCGUUCAGGGCAUUUUGGUGGUCGUAUCGGCUUUUAGUUGCUUGCUUGGUGUUAGUGCCAAGGGAGUGGUUGGAAGCUAGGUCGUCCUCUGGAAUGCUUGUUGUAAAGGUGUAUGAGUUGUGUUUGGCUUGUUACGGGUGUCUGUUGGCUGCUUGUGCAGGAACUUUCAUGCGUCCAAGCCUCUUCAGUUGUGCUACAAGGCCUUGUUUGUCUUGUGCAUACGGUGGGUUUCCUGUGUUGCAUACCUAAUCCAGGGCAUCGUAUGGCUUGAUCGUAGUAAAUAUUCGUAAUGCGCCGCUUGCGGCGUUGCACGAACCUCGAAGUGGUCUCUGUGGCCCAUGUUGUCUUUGCUCACGUAUGGAUGGCAUGGCCCUCGGAGCGUCGCUUGGUCUCUUGGAUACGGAACCUGAUGAUGUGGGCGGUAGGGUCUUGGAUGAUUCUACCUUCGC
rnacentral:misc_RNA from 1 species